AAUAAAAUGAUGACAAAAUUUUAACUGAAAAAUUUGUUAUUUCUAUUUUUGAAUAACAUUUUUUACUAAACGAUGGUCGCAUUUUGCGAGGCAUUUGGCUGAUUAAAUC